rnacentral:rRNA from 1 species
GUUUGACCUCAAAUCAGAUAGGAAUACCCGCUGAACUUAAGCAUAUCAAUAAGCGGAGGA